GGCUACCUUGUUACGACUUCCUACGGGGUGCAGCAGGCGCGAAACCUUUACACUGCGGGAAACCGCGAUAAGGGGACACCGAGUGCCAGCAUACAAUGCUGGCUGUCCACAUGUGUAAAUAGCAUGUGAUAGCAAGGGCCGGGCAAGACCGGUGCCAGCCGCCGCGGUAACACCGGCGGCCCGAGUGGUAAUCACUAUUAUUGGGUCUAAAGGGUCCGUAGCCGGUUUAAUCAGUCUUCCGGGAAAUCUGACAGCUCAACUGUUAGGCUUCCGGGGGAUACUGUUAGACUUGGGACCGGGAGAGGUAAGAGGUACUACAGGGGUAGGAGUGAAAUCUUGUAAUCCCUGUGGGACCACCAGUGGCGAAGGCGUCUUACCAGAACGGGUCCGACGGUGAGGGACGAAAGCUGGGGGCACGAACCGGAUUAGAUACCCGGGUAGUCCAGCCGUAAACGAUGCUCGCUAGGUGUCUGGAAUGGUGCGACCGUUUCAGGUGCCGCAGGGAAGCCGUGAAGCGAGCCACCUGGGAAGUACGGCCGCAAGGCUGAAACUUAAAGGAAUUGGCGGGGGAGCACUACAACGGGUGGAGCCUGCGGUUUAAUUGGACUCAACGCCGGACAACUCACCGGGGGCGACAGCAAUAUGUAGGUCAAGCUAAAGACUUUACCUGAAUCGCUGAGAGGAGGUGCAUGGCCGUCGUCAGUUCGUACUGUGAAGCAUCCUGUUAAGUCAGGCAACGAGCGAGACCCGUGCCCACUGUUGCCAGCAUAUCCUUUGGGAUGAUGGGUACUCUGUGGGGACCGCCGAUGCUAAAUCGGAGGAAGGUGCGGGCUACGGUAGGUCAGUAUGCCCCGAAUCUCCCGGGCGACACGCNNNUACAAUGGUUGGGNNAAUGG
rnacentral:rRNA from 3 species